GCCGCGGUGGUGGAAUUGGCAGACACGCGAGGUUUAGGACCUCGUGGGCGCAAGCCCUUGCAGGUUCGACUCCUGUCCGCGGCA
rnacentral:tRNA from 1 species